rnacentral:rRNA from 1 species
UUAAGUUGGGAGGAAGGGCAGUAAAUUAAUACCUUGCUGUUUUGACGUUACCGAACAGAAUAAGCACCGGCUAAUUUUUGUGCCAGCAGCCGGCGGUAAUUCAGAAGGGUGCAAGCGUUAAUCGGAAUUACUGGGCGUAAAGCGCGCGUAGGUGGUUUCAUCAAGUUGGAUGUGAAAUCCCCGGGCUCAACCUGGGAACUGCAUUCCAAAACUGACUGAGCUAGAGUACGGUAGAGGGUGUGGGAAUUUCCUGUGUAGCGGUGAAAUGCGUAGAAUAGGAAGGACCCCCAGUGGCGAAGGCGACCCACCUGGACUGAUACUGACACUGAGGUGCGAAAGCGUGGGGAGCAAACAGGAUUUAGAUACCCUGGUAGUCCACGCCGUAAACGAUGUCAGAUUAGCCGUUGGAAUCCUUGAGAUCUUAGUGGCGCAGCUAACGCAGAUAAGUCGACCCCCUGGGGAGUACGCCCGCAAGGUUAAAAUUCAAAUGAAUGGACGGGGGCCCGCCCAAGCGGUGGAGCAUGUGGUUUAAUUGGAAGCAACGCGAAGACCCUUCCAUGGCCUUGACAUGCAAUGAACUUUCCAGAGAUGGAUUGGUGCCUUCGGGAACUCAGACCCAGGUGCGCCAUGGCUGUCUUCAGCUCGUGUCGUGGGAUGUUGGUUUAAGUCCCGAAAGGAGGGCAACCCUUGCCCUUAGUUCCCAGCACCUCGGGUGGGCACUCUAAGGAGACUGCCGGUGACAAACCGGAGGAAGGUGGGGAUGACGUCAAGUCAUCAUGGCCCUUACGGCCAGGGCUACACACGUGCUACAAUGGUCGGUACAAAGGGUUGCCAAGCCGCGAGGUGGAGCUAAUCCCAUAAAACCGAUCGUAGUCCGGAUCGCAGUCUGCAACUCGACUGCGUGAAGUCGGAAUCGCUAGUAAUCGUGAAUCAGAAUGUCAGUGAAUACGUUCCCGGGCCUUGUACACACCGCCCGUCACACCAUGGGAGUGGGUUGCUCCAGAAGUAGCUAGUCUAACCGACAGGAGGACGGUUACCACGGAGUGAUUCAUGACUGGGGUAA